AAAAACAAAGGUAUAUGUUUGAAGGCGACGAAGAAUCUAACGGUUAGCAAAACGUCGCCGUUUCUCUAGCUGUACGGCAUGUAAAUAGAAGCAAUGCGUACUCUUAACUAAGGCUUGGCGUAAACGGUAAACACUAACCCUAGAAGUUAUUUUUUUUUCUUUUUUAAUUUGCACGUACGAAAUUUUAUGUUGUAAACUAACAAACUGAAAACUAUAGUUCAACACUAAUUAAUUCUUAUAACGUGGUUGGAUACAAUCUUAGUUCAACACUAGCUAAUUAAUCCUUAUAACGUGGUUGGAUACAAUCUUAGUUAUUUUCUUCUACAAUGUUCUAGAUUCUCGACCAAUAAGACAAUUUAUCUAGCUAGCUAGUUCGGAAAUCAAAGAUAUUCUCAUGUUUACGAGAUAUAUA
rnacentral:lncRNA from 1 species